rnacentral:lncRNA from 1 species
CUUAAUCUAACAAAUUAACUCAUCCAUUAUCCUCACAGUCAUUGCCACUUCGUUAAUCCUCAUCCCAUCCAAAUCCUCUGAUAACUAAGGCAGUAAGGCCCUUCCACUUCGUCUUCCUCACUACUAUCACCAACUAUCUUUCUAGUUUCACUAUCAUCGUCUAGGACGGACUUUCCUACCAUACUAUCCAUGUACAUUGGAUGUGCUUGGAGUUGGGGUUGCAGACCUAUAAUUCAAAAAAUGAUCGUGCAUAAUGAUAAUGGUCAAAAUUGUAGCCGUAAACAAUGAAAAAAUUAGCUUCUGUCAUGAUUCCAUGAAUCCAAGCCGUCAUGAAAGGCUAUGUCAGGGUCAUGUCAAAAAAAAUAGAUUUUAC